AUAUUCUGUUAAUGACAUUGUGCUGCAGCCUCAGACUGGGAUUAGUCAUUUUAAUUUCUUUUAGGAUUUCCCAGUGUGAUUGGCUGCAUAGAUGCACACACAUCCCCAUCACAGCUCCCUCACAUCAUGAACAGGAAGUCCAUUCACAGCAUAAAUGUGCAGGUAGGCUACAGGUAGACUGACUACUGUUUCUAAAUGUUAAAGACUGCAUCAUAGUUCAACAUCUGUCAUUCUCUGCACUGCCCAGAUCAUAUGUGAUGCUGCAUACAUCAUUUCUAAUGUGGAGGCCACGUGGUCUGGGUCUGUUCAUGACUCCAGGAUUUAUGGAGAGUCUAACCUGAGCAACAGACUGCAGCGUGGAGAGUUUGAUGGCCUUCUGCUGGGUGACAGGGGUUACCAUGCCAACCCAGGCUGAUGACCUCAUACCCUGACCCUGAACCAGGCCCCCAACAGAACUUCAACCGGACUCACUGCAGGACCAGAGCCCGGGUGGAGAUGACCAUAGGCCUGCUGAAAGCCCGUUUCCAGAGCCUACGUCUCCUCAGGGUGACCCCUGAGAGGGCCUGUGAUAUUACUGUGGCAUGUGUUGUUCUUCAUAAUAUUACCACUAUUAGAGGAGAGCAACACCCUGCCCUACAAACUGAAGACCCAGAUGAUGAGCCCAUCCACCUGCAGCUAUCCAGGACAGCAGAGCAGUCAGAGACACCGUAUGCAAUAAUCACUUUAGAGUUUAAGUCACCAUCAUCACCACCACAGCAAAUAAAGACAUGAUACACAUUUCAUUUGGUCUUCUUUAUUUCCUACAAAUAAAAGAUAGUUCAGUUCA